CCCAUAUGCACCCCCCCCAUCUCUCUGCCUCUGGCUGACUUACCUGAUCACCAGCCCCUUACUGACUGACCAAGCCCUGCAGAAUCCCCUCAGUGGGGCCUGACUAAUGGCCCUGCGUUUUCUGGUAAGAUCCGUGGGCCGAGCUCACACACACCCCACGUCAAUCAUCUCCGUCCAUCAAACUGUCCAUGUGCAACGCAUCUGAAAAUAGUAAAAAAAAAAAAAAAAAAAAAGUUGGAUAAUUCCAUGCGGGCAAAAUUAAGCUUCAAUAUACUAUCUGAUGAAAACUCCUAGACAGGAAAUAUAUAUUGUUCACCCAUGUGAUGUCAUCAGAAUCAACACACUGCUAUUCACAUCACUCACUGAUUUUCAGGUUGGGACCUUAAUUUGUUUUUUUCUCACUAAGACUCGUUGUUCUAGUGCCAAAAGGUCUGAUGCUGGCAGGUUCUAUAGAACCUGAACUUGGACACUAAGGCAAGACCAGGUCUUUAUUUACUUGAAUUAAAAGAAGAGAAGAAAUAGCGAAAAAUGGAAAAGAAAAAAAAAUUGGAGGUUAGGAUGGUGGGGCAGGACUCUGGUGUUGAUUGACAUAGGCGAGGAGCCAAUCUCUUGGCAGGGUUCAUCAUACAGUGCACCCUCAUUGGUGGGAUGUUUAUGUGCUGGGAAUGACGAAGGAGAGAGGGAAUGGAAAAUAACUGAAAGUUACAAGAAGACCCAGCGACCACAGUCCAGCAGCCACAGUGAUGAAGCCACAUGCGAAUCCAGAAAAUGUUACACUUGUAGUCUUGGGGUUGAACUGGCCCUCUCUGCUCUUGCUCCGUGGACUGAGGCUGCUGUCCCACCAUUAGGGAUGGUGUCCUGAAGGUCACUUCCAGUCAACAGGUGACAUCAUUCCCUUUUUCGGACAGCGAGAUGAUAAAGGAGCUCCAUCCGUGACCUUGGGGAGGGACAGUACCUAAGAGUAGCUUAGGGGCGCUUCAAGCUUGCAUCAAACCAACCCUCCAGGCUUUGGCGUAGAACCACACGAUAACGGAACAGAAUAACCAGCAGCAGCCUCGUCCUCCUAGUCACAGUCAACAGUGAAAAGGAAAGGCGAAAAAAGGUGCAAAUGCAGUUACGACUAAAUCUGUGAAUCUGAAAUGGAUCGUAUGGCGUUUUGAUGUUCUAUGCCACUGAGGCCACACCCACAUCUACUGCUCCUUUCCGUAGAGUACUUAAUAGUGAACUCGUUUAAAUUCAUAUGGAAUAAUUACUUUUUGGCUUGAGAUGCUGUUUCCAGUUUUACAUUCUAUAGAUAUUACGACCAAAGUUGGGAUCCAGUCUUUAAUUCAGAUGAAUCUGAAGUAGAAAGUUAUAGAUAUAUGCGUUGAUUACAAUUGUUUUUAAUUUUGUUUAAUUAUGUGUAAAGCAAAUCGUCCCCCCGUGGUCUUGUUCGGCGGGAGUCAUACUGCAUGACGAUGUUUCUGCCACAAAUCCCUCCAUAGAUUCCACGGCACCGCUGUAUUAGAAACGCCAUAUGACACCACCCCAAAGAUGUCUUUUUACCCCAAAAAAAUAUUCAGGAUUUCCCUUCUGCAAAGAACCGAUGUUCCAAUGACAGAACAAGCUGAUGUGCAAAAUGGACAUUCAAGCACUUCAAUUCUCAUAAUACCCUAAGCAAAAGCGUAGGAUUAGUUACAAUAUUUUUAGGGUGCAAAACAGCUUCAAACCUCCCGCCCCCAUGGUACUCGCCCAAUAUUGAUAAGGUCAUAUCCCUACCGUACACACCCAUAUAUACGUCCUUGGGUAACACCCAACAGUUCCUCUUAAAUCUAAACUGGAAGCACAUCUGAAAGGGCGUGGCUCCUUUGGUUAUUAGGGUUUGUGUGCGGUGAAGCUCUCGGGCGCCACAUGCCGCACUGGAGACUCGACCGCACAGCACACAUCGCCCGCUGUCUGUAACUGUAAUUUACGUUACUUAUUCUGUAUAGAUAACACACCUCUCUGCUCAUCGCAAAAACAAAGCGACCGACUGAAAAUCUGGCACCAACACCCUGUCUCCGCAAUGAAUCGCAGGUCUGCAAUAGGCUGUUUAUGGAAAGCACCAAUGCUACAGAGCCGUUUUAACUGCUGACCGAUAAUGCACGUGAAAUAUUUGGGGGAGAUGUGAAGACAGUUUUUUUUUAAUCACAGUAUUGUCGCAUUUGGUGUUGGUUAAAAUUAGAAUGUAACGCGGGGUACUGGGGAUUAAUAUUAGGGACAUUUCCACGUCAGCGCACACGCAUACAGACGGCGGUUUAUGCUUUCUGGUGUACACAGCUAGUAUCUCGCAGGCAUAGUUAACGCUGGUCAGAUCUCUUUCACCCGAAAACCGGUUUAACGCGGAACAUUUGCCCAUACAAUCGCCCGAAAAUGUUGACAUUUUUGCUGGAGUGGGUUCUAAGGGGACGCGCUGGAUAAGCAGACUGAAGGGGCGGGUCCGUGGUUUCUGUAAUUUAUCUGAACGAAUUGUCUGCGUGUGCUAUUAGUUUUAUUUUGCUCUUUUCUAAUAUUAGAUGCAAACUGUGUGAAUAUGCAUAGCUGUGAUGCAAAUAUUCUUUUUCUAAGCAAAAUACGAUGUACAUCAGUUAAGCACAAACGAAUAAUAUAAUAACGUAAUUAGAACACGUUUAGCGUCGUAUGAUUAAAUGGUUCAGCUUUUACAUGACCAUCUUAUCCUAGCGAUUUGUGAAGGCGAAUGUGUGUAGCGUAAAAUAAAUGCUCCUUUUAUUUAUUUCAGUUCAUCGAUCAUUCACCUGACGUUAUAGCUAACAGAGGGUUCAGUAUAAUAUCAGAUGUCUGAUUCCGUCUGGGCGUCAUUUUGCAAGAAGGGACCAAUGGCAGCAAGGCAAGUGCGGGUGUAUUAGCUGCGGGGGCGCGCCUCACAGGCUAGAGUGGAGUAAAAGAAAAAAAAAAAACAAUGUCGGGAUUUGGCAGCACGCGCGGUCAGUUUUGAUUGGCUGUCGGAUUUAUUCCCUGCAGGGUCGUGCGCGUCACGCGUGGGAAUGAUGGUGCAUGGUGGUGGUGCCGUGCCAGCCCCCCCCCCAAACUAAAUGACAGACGAUGAUAAAGCAUGUGGCUGCUUGAUGUCUGCAAAGGGUUGUCGAUGUAAUCGAUGGAUUGCGUUUUAAUUAUGUUUCGUUAUUUAAUGUGCCUGACAACACUGCGCGUCUACUCACGGCGCAUCUGGAGUGCACUGGCGUCUCCGCACAACUCUAGCGUGGAAUGCUGCACUAGUACAACUACUUAGAAACACUGUUUUUUUUUUGAGGGGGGGUUGUUUUGUGUUUUUAUCAUGUUUUGCAUUGCUUUUCCUGGAAAAGUUUAAAACAACACUACCACACAUCAAACUACCUCAGCUUGUACAAUGAACAGGAUACCUUCUUCACAAUUCCCUUCCAUCUAUCCAUUUUCUGUAAAAGCUUAUCCUAAGCAGAGUCGGGGGGGGCAACAACCCAUCAUAGGGCACAUUCACACACACAGACAAUUUGGUAACUCCAGUUAAUCUCAACAUGUUUCUGGACUGUAGGAAACCCCACAAUAAUAUGGGGAGAACUUGUGAACUCCACACACACGGAGUCAUGGCAGAGACUCAAACACCGUUCCCAGUAGUAUGAGGCAACAGUGCUAACCACUGCACCACCCUGCUGCCACAAUUCCCAUCGGUUCAAUUAACUGCACUGAUAUACCCCAGUAACAGAGUAGCCAAGAUUUCACACAGUAAAACAUCACUAAGAUUAUGAUGCAUCAGACACGCAAAAUACGGAAAUAUGUGCUUGACAAUAGAACUUGGCUUGGCUAGGAUAGAUCAGUCAUGCUGUCAUAAUUAAAGCUGUUUACAUUAGUUUAAUUUGCCUUAAAAUAUGUUGCCACAUUCAGUUGUUUGCCCUGCUCACAAUUUCUUUUGUAAAAAAACGUAGCUGUGAUGUUACCGCGUCACAUUAUGGUCAAAGCAGAUGAGUGUCUGUAGGGUUACAGUUUUUAUACUAUGAUCCAUUCCCAACCUAAAAAACAGUUACUGAGAGAUAGCACAGCAUGCCACCAGGUUCAUUAUACAAUAUUAUCCUCCAAUACAGUUGUAGUCCAGCCACAAUUUUGUGUUUCCCUAAUUCAAUUUUAGGAAAUGUGCAAUCUUGUUUUUCUUGCAAACGGAUUCCUGUAACUUUAAAUCUUUUGAAAUGUAUGACGACCCAGUGUUUGACUUUAGGUCAAGUGAUAAGUACAGCCUCCUUUAAGUACUUAGACUGUCGGUGUACUGUAGUACACUGGGGUGUCUCGGAUUUAACCAGGAAAUUACAAAUAUAAACUGCACCUGAGACUGAGACUGAGAUGUUUCUGGAGGGCUGCACUGUACUUCAUGAUUUUAGCUUGUAGGAUAAUGAAAGACAUGUUCCUUGAUGUUGGGAAAAUCAAAUGCAAAUCAGAUUAUAUAUAUAUAUGAAUAUAACUUAUUGGUAUACGAGUCUGACAAAAGAGCUGUGAAUCCCAUAGAUACCUUAUGCUAUACCCCCCUCCCCCUCAAAAAUAUACACAAAUAAACACACACCGUGACCAUCAGUAGGCCUGCAGUAGUUCAAGCACAGUGACUGUUGAAGAGGGAGAACACAGUGUUACGAUUGUUCAAAGUGUAAACAAGAUGUACAAAUAUUCUUGCUAUUUUCUUUGCAAUAGAAAAUUGCAGUAGUGACUGACAAAAAUUUCUAACUGUACAUAAAUGUAUGCAAAUUUCCAUGUUUAAGAGAACAAUAAUGGUUCUGAAAGGUGUGCAAAUAUGCUCAAGGUAAAGAUUUAACUAGUGUGAUGUAUGUGAUGUAUCAUACAAAUCUUGUCUAUUUUUUAUUUCUCUUUUUUUGAGUACUUUGCAUUGUGUGCUGGAAGUUAAAUGCAGUUAAUCAGUCAUUUAAUUUUUACUGUAAAAUCAAUCCUGAAACCACAAGGAAGUAAUCUAUUACGAUUUUGUAUAGAUUGGAUUUUUUGUAAAUUUUUAUUUGAUCUUAUUGCAACACAAGGUACCAAAUUAAUUUAAUAAAGUACACUGUGGUCAUUCCA